GUCUACGGCCAUGCCACCCUGAACAAGCCUGAUGUCCGAUCUCGGAAGCUAAGCAGGUGCGAGCCUGGUUAGUACUUGGAUGGGAGACCACCUAGGAAGACCAGGUGCUUUUGGCA
rnacentral:rRNA from 1 species